AGGGCUGCAGUAUAUUGACUGUACAAAGGUAGCAUAAUCAUUAGUCAUUUAAUUGAUGACUUGUAUGAAGGAUUUGAUGAAAUAUAAACUGUCUCUUAUUUAAUUAUAAAAUUUAAUUUUUUUAUUAAAAAGUUAAAAUAUAUUAAAAAGACGAGAAGACCCUAUAGAGUUUAAUAAAUUAUUAAAUUGAGAUUAUAUGUAAAUUAAAUUUGAAAUUGAGUUAUUUAUUUUGUUGGGGUGACAAAAAAAUAUAUUAAACUUUUUUUAUUUAAAAACAUUUAUAAGUGGUUAAAUGAUCCAAUAAUGUUGAUUAUAAGAAAAAAUUACCUUAGGGAUAACAGCGUAAUUUUUUUUUUUAGUUCAAAUAAGAAAAAGAGUUUGCGACCUCGAUGUUGGAUUAAGAUAAAAUUUAAA
rnacentral:rRNA from 1 species